rnacentral:rRNA from 1 species
GAUAACCCUCGGAAACGGGGGCUAAUACCGAAUACGACCUUCUGCCGCAUGGUGGGGGGUGGAAAGUUUUUCGGCCUGGGAUGGGCUCGCGGCCUAUCAGCUUGUUGGUGGGGUGAUGGCCUACCAAGGCGACGACGGGUAGCCGGCCUGAGAGGGCGACCGGCCACACUGGGACUGAGACACGGCCCAGACUCCUACGGGAGGCAGCAGUGGGGAAUAUUGCACAAUGGGCGGAAGCCUGAUGCAGCGACGCCGCGUGAGGGAUGACGGCCUUCGGGUUGUAAACCUCUUUCAGCAGGGACGAAGCGCAAGUGACGGUACCUGCAGAAGAAGCGCCGGCCAACUACGUGCCAGCAGCCGCGGUAAGACGUAGGGCGCGAGCGUUGUCCGGAUUUAUUGGGCGUAAAGAGCUCGUAGGCGGCUUGUCGCGUCGACCGUGAAAACUUGGGGCUCAACCCCAAGCCUGCGGUCGAUACGGGCAGGCUAGAGUUCGGUAGGGGAGACUGGAAUUCCUGGUGUAGCGGUGAAAUGCGCAGAUAUCAGGAGGAACACCGGUGGCGAAGGCGGGUCUCUGGGCCGAUACUGACGCUGAGGAGCGAAAGCGUGGGGAGCGAACAGGAUUAGAUACCCUGGUAGUCCACGCUGUAAACGUUGGGCGCUAGGUGUGGGGGGCCUCUCCGGUUCUCUGUGCCGCAGCUAACGCAUUAAGCGCCCCGCCUGGGGAGUACGGCCGCAAGGCUAAGACUCAAAG